GUGGAGGACAGAAGAGAGCCAUUAUAAUGAGAGGUCACCUAAUGAAAAAUUGCACUUCUUUGCUGGUAGUAUAAGAAUAAUACCAAUAACACCACACGCCUCGGUUCUUCUUGAUGAGGACUUUCUUGAUGGAGAACUAUAACUGUCCACAGAAUUUUUCAGGUUGCCCGUGCUUCCCCUCUUCAUUUGUCCCGAAUUCGGUCUCGUCCGACGACGAGAACAUUUCGUGGUGGGAUACUCUGGGAUGGGUCAUCGUCGGCAUAGUUGUCGUCGCGGUUGUAAUCCGUAGUUUCCUUUUCUACUUUCGUCGUGGUCCUGAGGACGCAGAAAUCACUCUCCCGGUAAACGUGGAAAUCUCCCUUUAAUAGGACACUGCGAGCAUUUCGUUUCCGUUGUCGUUAGCGUUCUUCUCCUAGGACAAUAAGAUCAAGCUUCUGGACAUGUGUCUGUGUGAAACUCGAAUAAUUUAUAGUGACAGGUCGUCUAUUCUAUUAUCCAACAUUGGAGAUUUGAUGCAACAAAUAAUUGUAUUGGAGGAAAAAAAUUGUGAUUAAGGGUUUG